rnacentral:tRNA from 1 species
UAGAUCGUAGUGUAGACGGAAGCACAAGGAGUUUUGAUCUCCUCAGGUCGGGUUCAACUCCCCACUUUCUAA